rnacentral:tRNA from 1 species
GCUUAGAUGGUAAAGAAUCUGCCUGUAAUGCAGGAGACCCAGGUUCAAUUCCUGG